UGAUGCAGCGACGCCGCGUGAGGGAUGACGGCUUUCGGGUUGUAAACCUCUUUUAUCCACCACGAAGGCCACGUAUUCGCCUGGUUGACGGUAGUGGUUGAAUAAGCGCCGGCUAACUACGUGCCAGCAGCCGCGGUAAGACGUAGGGCGCGAGCGUUGUCCGGAUUUAUUGGGCGUAAAGGGCUCGUAGGCGGCCCGCUGCGUCUGCCGUGAAAGGCCUCGGCUUAACCGGGGUUUUGCGGUGGAUACGGGCGGGCUUGAGGCAAGUAUGGGAAACUGGAAUUCUACGUGUAGCGGUGAAAUGCGCAGAUAUGUGGAGGAACACCGGUGGCGAAGGCGGGUUUCUGGGCUUGUUCUGACGCUGAGGAGCGAAAGCGUGGGGAGCGAACAGGAUUAGAUACCCUGGUAGUCCAUGCUGUAAACGGUGGGCGCUAGGUGUGGGGCCACGUUGGUUGGUUCUGUGCCGUAGCUAACGCAUUAAGCGCCCCGCCUGGGGAGUACGGCCGC
rnacentral:rRNA from 1 species